GGCCUGGCGCGGCGUUCUCUCGGAAGGGGGAAGUCGCGGUUUCUAUGGAGAAGCGGUUGGUUGGAAUCGUCCAUAGCCUGCCCUCCCGCGGUGUGGGUGGAGCGUGACCAGCUUUAUCUAGUGGGACGAGACCUCGAUAUCCCCUAACCCUCGGGAAGGCGGCUGGUGAUCAGUCGCUCGAGGAAGAAUCCCCUCCUGCUCGGGGCUGUUGGAGAGCCUCUACGCAGUAUCUGCAAGGACAGAGAUAACAAAGGAGACAUCCUUGAAGGAUAUCUUGGUGUGGUGUAGAUACUACACCAGACUCCCUGAUGUCCAAUUGGAUCUUUCAAGAGUAACAGAUUUCAUUGACACAAGAAUGGAACAGAGAUGAACAGAACUGGAUUUCUGAACUUAACUCAUUACAAGCCAGCUAAAUUUCUGGAUUAAGUUUGAAGACAAAGAAUCAUGACAGAUGAGGAAAGUAAGGCUGAGAAAAAAACGUUUCCGGGACGGUGCCACGGUGCGCAGCUGACGACUGUCAACAGUGAAGAUUAGAACUCAUAUUUUCCAGGCUCUAGGUUCAGCAUUUGAUACACUGCUCCAGAUUGCUCUCCUCUCCAUAGGUCUCAGAGGUCAACUAUUCCUUCCUCUCCUAACUUACCUAUGGCAUCACCUUUUACGUCCACAUCAUGUGCCCAUUUUGACUUUAUUUUGGUUUUUGGUGUAAGAAUGCAAGUCAUUCCGGAA